UUAAAACCAGAGAGUCCAGAGACAAACGUGAGAAGCUGUCUGCUGGACGUCUGCGGGAGUCUCAACAGAGACACUUUGUCCUCAGUGGCUGCUGCCAAACUGGACGCAUUAAAGGUCACAUUUUAACUGCGAGGAGGACAAAGUCGUGACUGAAACUCAAGAGAAGACGAAAACACCAGUCAGCUGACUCGUGGAGAGUCUGAGCGGGUCACCGAGGGCUCGCCUGCUGGGUGAAACCCCGUUAAAGUCAUCGGCAGGCUGUCCGUCUGCUCUUACCUCCGGAGACCUGGGAGGAGACGUGGACGGAGGGGACAGAGAUCUCUGCGGGUCACACAAACACAGGUGGACAAGUGAGUUACCGUGAUGCUGGUGGCGGGAGACCCCGGGGUGCUCAGGCCCCUGGAAGAAGGCAGGUUGACGGGGGUCACCUGUCCCUCCACCUGUGACAGCAGCAACAUUCAGGAGCCAGGAGAGUUUCAUGUCCAGCCAAGACUUGAACAGAGAGCUGACGUGGGCUCAGACUGCAGGACUUCUGGGUCAUGGCAGACUACACCUGGGUCCUGACCAACCAGAACGUCCCCCAUACGAGUGCUGCCAUCUUGUUCUGGUGAUGUCAUUUGGAGCCAGAGUCUCAGCGACUGACGGACAUUACUGCUCCUGACAGUCCAUCAGAUCGGGCUGUGACCGGUC